rnacentral:ncRNA from 1 species
UAAAAGUUUUAUUUAUGCUUGAAAAAUUAAUUUAUAUUUUAUAUUUAUAUAAAUUUUUGCUAUUAAAAAUUAGGAAUUAAAUUAAAGUUUUAAAAAAUAUAGAAAUAUAGAUUUAGAAAUAUAUAGUAAUAUUAACAAAAUUUGUGCCAGCAGUUGCGGUUAUACAAUUAAUAUUAUUAAUUUUUAUUAAUUUAUAAUAAUAAUUAUUAGUUAGAAAUUAAUUAUGAUUAUUAAGUGAAAUUUUAAUUGUAAAUAAUUUUUAAUUUAAAUAUUUUGAUUUAUUAAAUUUUUAAAUAAACUAGGAUUAGAUACCCUAUUAUUUUGAAUGUAAAUUUUAAAAUUAAUUAGUAAUAGUUAUGUUCUUUAAAAUUAAAAAAUUUGGUAGUAUUAUAAUCUUUUCAGAGGAACCUGCUUUAUAAUUGAUAGUCCACGAUUAAUUUUACUUAUUUUAAUAGUUUAUAUAUCGUCGUUAAUGAAUUUUUUAUUAGAAAGUAAAUAUUCAAUAUUUUAAAUUUAAAAUUUAAAUCAGAUCAAGAUGUAGUUUAUAAAUAAGGAAAAAUGGGUUACACUAAUAAAUAAUUUUGGUUUAAAAUUGAAAUUUUUAAUUAAAUUGGAUUUGAUGGUAAUUUUAAAUUAUAUUUAAAAUGAUUUGAGUUCUAUAAUAUGCACAUAUUGCCCGUCACUUUCAUAUAAGAUGAGAUAAGUCGUAACAAAGUAGGUGUACUGGAAAGUGUAGCUAGUAAACA